rnacentral:tRNA from 1 species
ACUGCACUGGCCAACUGGAUAACUCAAUAGCGUUUGAAGCGAAAGGUACUGAGUUCGAAUCCCGGACUGAACUCA